rnacentral:rRNA from 1 species
AAGGUGGGGAGUGACGUCAAGUCCUCAUGGCCUUUAUGUCUAGGGCUACACACGUGCUACAAUAGGGUGGUACAAAGAAGCAGCUAACUCGCGAGAGUAUGCAAAUCUCAAAAAGCCAUCCUCAGUUCGGAUUGGAGUCUGCAACUCGACUCCAUGAAGUUGGAAUCGCUAGUAAUCGCGGAUCAGCAUGCCGCGGUGAAUACGUUCCCGGGCCUU